UACGUAGGGUGCGAGCGUUGUCCGGAAUUAUUGGGCGUAAAGGGCUCGUAGGCGGUUUGUCGCGUCGGGAGUGAAAUCCACUGGCUUAACUGGUGGCUUGCUUUCGAUACGGGCAGACUGGAGGUAUGCAGGGGAGAACGGAAUUCCUGGUGUAGCGGUGAAAUGCGCAGAUAUCAGGAGGAACACCGGUGGCGAAGGCGGCGAUCUGGGUAGAUACUGACGCUGAGGUGCGAAAGCGUGGGGAGCAAACAGG
rnacentral:rRNA from 1 species